GUGAAAUCCACGGGACCCUUUCCCAGCAGGUUCGGCACAGACUCCCGUAUUGCAUUUUAGCUUAACGCUUACAAGCUCUUUUUGGUUUUCCCCUUUGUCUCAUCUAUCUGCAAUUCUUUGCUCCUUAUUAAAUCGCUAGCUGUCCUGGGAUUAUUUAGCUGCAUGAGCAGCUUUUCCCCUUGCCAGAGCCCUGCCUGUCAAGGCAGGAGCCCUUUAAUACAAGGCAGUCAUCCAUAAAAAAAAAGAAGGUGGAGAGGGUACAAGGAUUCACACCAGUGGAAACAAAGGCAGGUGAUGGGCACCGGAGCUGUGUGCCUGCUCUCUGAUCUACCUUGCCUGCUUGCCCUGAGCACGGUGGCUUUAGCAACAUCUUUGUCCUCUGAAAGCCUCAGCCUGCAGAACACAAUAAAUAAUGCCUCAGAGCAAUGUGACCUGUGGCAAGCAGUAAGCGAUGACAUUGUCAGACACACACAACUGUUGAAAUAACCAGACUGUAAUCAUCACGCCGUACCCACAGAAAGACAUUUGGCAAAUGAGAUUCCAUUUUCACAUUGGUCUGUGCCGAGCAUGUAAAUUUCCAGCGGGACAACCAGCAUUAGGGAUGUGUAAUUGAUUGUCUGAAUUAUAAUAAACAAGCUGUGACAGGUGAUCAUCCAUCAUUUUCCUGCUGCAUGUUCCAGCAGCACUGCGAGAGGGGGAGAGAGAGAGCUGGAACGCGGAUGGGGAAAAUGAAAAGUCAGAUUCAUAUGGAAACAGAAAAGAGGGGGGAACAGAAAAAAGGAUCGGGGUGGAAGUGAGAGGAGACUGCAACCAUGAGAAAAACAACACAAAUGAAAGACUAGUUAAUUCCUGUGAUUUGUUAGACGUUUGAUUGAAUUAAAAAAUCCCUUCUACUAUUACUGCCCUUGAGAACUAGAGGAUUUGCUGCAGUGGCUGGUAUUUGGAGCUAGGAACGCUAAGAAAUAAAUACAAAGAAGAGGAAAGCAUGAAGGAGGAGCUGUGAUUAGAACAGAACCAAUUACAAAAAGUGCGUGUGUGUGUGUAUGUGUGAGAGAAUGAGGACUCCCAGCUUAGCCUCCUUGUUCAGGCUUAGGCACUUCAAUCUGUGACUGAGCGGUCAAAAACACUCUCAGGUUUUUAUGAUCAUACUAAAGAGAAUGCUUUCCUGAUGCCUUAAUGUUGUAAAAGCCUGUGGUUUACAGUGAUGCCGUCUCAGAAUCAAAGUGACCUGAAGGAUGGUUCUUCCCUAAGGCAGGGCGUGGAGGUGCGAGUGGUUGAGCUGUUUGUCUCCUGGGCCAGCCUUAUGAGCAGGGAGCUUACCAGUCUUGGAGAGGAAUGCGAAGACGUGUUGAAAAAAAUGAGGAAAUAGUGCCUCUGAAUAGAUCGGGCAAUAGAUUGGGUUGGUAUUUUCCUGAAGACUUACCGGCAUACCUCAUGCAAAUUAGAGUGUGAGGCUUUCCAGUGCUCUACCCUGAAGAUGACGGAACCUAUGGCAAAAAUUCGUCACUUCAGUAUCCCCGGUUUACUUGGUUAUGUUUGUUGUCUAUACAGAAUGAGUGAUCAGACAUCGUUUUAUAAAUUUAUGAAAUUUUGCAUGUCUGAGGCUUGCUCAUGGACAGUUUUUUGCCAUUAUUUGACAAUCACUCAAACUGCAAUUGUCAUGGUGUUGUUUGCAUUUGCUGGUUGAUCAAAUGCUCAGGCAUUUCCUGUACAGCCUUUUGCCCAUAAACAUUUGAAAUUUACUCUGUACAAACACGACACUGACCAGAAUUUGUGGUAUAAAUGUUUAUGCAAAAUGGGUGUGAACAGAGCUGGUGCAAAUUCAUCUACUUGUGUAGAAGACUGAAAACAACUAUGGGGAAAAUUCUUCCCAUGAUUGUAAUGAAAUUUAUGAGACAAUGAUAUUAAAUUCUUUAAAUCAAUUGUAACGUGAUCAAAUAGCUGUAGUAACAGGCUUCAGACCAUGGCUUGAGUUUUAAGGUUAAGCUUCUUUCCAGAAAGUAAAAAUAAUUGCAUCUUUCUGUGCAAUGACUGACUUGGGUGACAGAUCUCUGCCUGCAACUUCUCUGCCCAGUUGUCAGGUUUGGUCCCUCCUGGCGUACCGGAGAUCCGUGAAGCAGCGGCCGUUUGCUCCUCGAAUUCUUUAACAGGAAUUUGGUUUCGGCAUCCGACUUCACUGCGCGAACAGAAGUGGUGGAGGGAAGGCACACCGUAAACCACCGCUUUCUUCUGUGACUCAAGACGAACAUGGGAAGGGGUGCAGCUGGAGACAGAGUCUCUAAGGAGGCUAUCUCUAACAAGGGCAAUGGGAGACAGUUCGGACUGGGAAGCUGCAGAGUGCUGUGCUGCCUGGUGUUUGACUCGCUGCUGCUGUUUCCCCCAGGCUGCCCUCUUGCUUCCUUUUCAUCAGGCUGUGGUGUCCUUGGUCCGAGCGCUCCUCUCCCGUGUAGGAGGUGAACCACAGUGUACUGAGACCGCAGUGAAUUGAGCAAUGGCAUGAACAAAGCAAACUGUGGGAUGAAUGUCACCAGAUGUGUAAUGGUUAAAACUGGUUCAGAUUAAAAUAUCAGCUUCA